GGAUUAACCUUAAGCAGGACAACAAGAAGUUCUAGUUACAGAAUUCCCUAGUAAGACUAGACCUUCCUUCCUUCCUCCUAACCACAGCAGGGAAGAAAAGUGUGGGCAGAGGGGAGAGUACAAAGAGUGAAAGGUAUCCAGGGGGCCACAUCUGGAAAGAUUGCAAGAACCAGCGUUUUGAAAUGAGGUAAACUAGAGACUUAGAUGCCUGAGAGAAAUGAACCCAUCAGAGUCCCCCUCUGGAGGACAGAACAAGUUACAGCCAGACAGAUGUAUUCCAGAUUUUUUCAGUCUUGGCCAGUUGCUCUGUUUUCUGGCAUGGAUGCUUUGACCCAGCUGCUAAACCCAUCGGUGCCUGUCCUGCUGCCAGUUACUAGAGCAUGGACUCCGGAUGGAGACAGUUGAGUCUUACGGCACUAACAGUAAAUUGACCAAGAAAGCAGAACUUCUGAAGGCAGUUCAUCUGACAGAUCCAAUUCUUAAAGAAGUUCUUUAUCUUCCUGCUGGUUUUAUGCUGAAUGCUACUUAAACAGGACAUUUAAAUCUUGUCAUGAAAAAUGGGAGUGCUUUCAAGAAAAGCUGGGACACAAAGUUCGGUGACUCUGCUGUGAAGGCAGGGAAUCUUCAUAUCUGCACUGUUUGUGACUUCGUUUUUCAAAGCUGUGUGUACAACUUCUGUGGAGACUUCCCACCAGCUUGUGGGAACAAUCUAACAUCUUACCAUAGCAUCUGGGAAAAGCUGCUGUGAGAAUCCAUCUUUGUUUAAAAUCAGUUGAAGAUAAUGCUGUUCAGUAACAGGCUGCUUUUAUCCCUACAGUAACUGCAGUGCAGCCAAUGGAUUUGCACCAGACCUGUUCUCCAACUUGGCCACAAAGGGAUUCUUCACAUUUGUACUUCUCUCAUUUUUAAGCAAUGCUGUCGUGCUCAGCUGUUUCACUCCCACGCCCAACUACGGACAUACUGCUUUUCACCCAUCAAUCUGGAAGCUCUUCACAGAGGAUUCAGUGGAUAAUCACGAUAUUAGCAUGUGCUUAGACUUCAGCAUUUACCUAAAUGGCCUGGCUAAAUCUACCAAUUAUUUACCUAAAUGGCCUGGUAACAUCUGAGAUCUGAAAAAAACCCCAACAUAUAGAGGUGCUGAGAACGGAAAUACUGCAGCUCCGUAUCGCUGCCUGUUAUUCACAGGUGGAAUCAGGAAGGUGGUUGCUGAACUGAAAAAUCAUCACUACAAGUUCAUGACUUCUAAAUCUCAGCAAAGACCCUGCUGACUGUGAGUGAACAGCUUGAGUAACACACUUUCAGAACCUGAUUUUCAAGAAGACAGUAACAAUAGAGUGGUAUGUGCCUGUCGUCAAGGUGUACUUGUUUAGAUUCCUCAAUUGGCUCCACAUGUGGCAAGCACCUAAUGUGUGUGUGUGUGUGUGUGUGUGCAGUGUAUACACAUAUAUGUGUGUAUGUACAAUUUGGGGAUUAGUGCAAGAUGACUGAAAUUCAGACUGCUAUUUGCCUUAGAAAAACACAUGCCUAUUGCCAUUACAAAAUAAUACAAAUAUGAAGACUUUCCUUUAAAGUCUUAAUGUUUAGAAAACCCUUAAAGUUUAGGAAAUUUAGAAUUUGUUCUCUGGCUUAAAAUCUCUAGCCUUGAGAAAG